ACGGGUGAGUAAUGUCUGGGGAUCUGCCCGAUAGAGGGGGAUAACCACUGGAAACGGUGGCUAAUACCGCAUAACGUCGCAAGACCAAAGAGGGGGACCUUCGGGCCUCUCACUAUCGGAUGAACCCAGAUGGGAUUAGCUAGUAGGCGGGGUAACGGCCCACCUAGGCGACGAUCCCUAGCUGGUCUGAGAGGAUGACCAGCCACACUGGAACUGAGACACGGUCCAGACUCCUACGGGAGGCAGCAGUGGGGAAUAUUGCACAAUGGGCGCAAGCCUGAUGCAGCCAUGCCGCGUGUAUGAAGAAGGCCUUCGGGUUGUAAAGUACUUUCAGCGGGGAGGAAGGCGAUGUGGUUAAUAACCGCAUUGAUUGACGUUACCCGCAGAAGAAGCACCGGCUAACUCCGUGCCAGCAGCCGCGGUAAUACGGAGGGUGCAAGCGUUAAUCGGAAUUACUGGGCGUAAAGCGCACGCAGGCGGUCUGUUAAGUCAGAUGUGAAAUCCCCGGGCUUAACCUGGGAACUGCAUUUGAAACUGGCAGGCUUGAGUCUCGUAGAGGGGGGUAGAAUUCCAGGUGUAGCG
rnacentral:rRNA from 1 species